rnacentral:rRNA from 1 species
UACGUAGGGGGCAAGCGUUGUCCGGAAUUAUUGGGCGUAAAGCGCGCGUAGGCGGUUAUCUAAGUCGGAUGUGAAAGCCCUCGGCUUAACUGAGGAAGUGCACCCGAAACUGGAUAGCUAGAGUACGAAAGAGGGUCGCGGAAUUCCUGGUGUAGCGGUGAAAUGCGCAGAUAUCAGGAAGAACACCCGUGGCGAAGGCGGCUCUCUGGAACGCAACUGACGCUGAGACGCGAAAGCGUGGGGAGCAAACAGG